rnacentral:rRNA from 1 species
UUGGAGGGCAAGUCUGGUGCCAGCAGCCGCGGUAAUUCCAGCUCCAAUAGCGUAUAUUAAAGUUGUUGCAGUUAAAAAGCUCGUAGUUGAAUUUCGGGGUUCCUACCGUUGGUCCGGCCUUGUCUGGACUGGCGUUGAGAAUUUCCUACCUUCUGGGGAACCAUUAUGUUUUUAAUUUAGCGUGGUGGGAAACCAGGACCUUUACCUUGAAAAAAUUAGAGUGUCCAAAGCAGGCUUAUGUCUGAAUACAUUAGCAUGGAAUAAUAGAAUAGGACGCUGGUCCUGUUUUGUUGGUUUCUGAAUCACCGUAAUGAUUAAUAGGGAUAGUUGGGGGCAUUAGUAUUCAAUUGUCAGAGGUGAAAUUCUUGGAUUUAUUGAAGACUAACUUCUGCGAAAGCAUUUGCCAAGGAUGUUUUCAUUAAUCAAGAACGAAAGUUAGGGGAUCGAAGACGAUCAGAUACCGUCGUAGUCUUAACCAUAAACUAUGCCGACUAGGGAUCGGACGAUGUUAACUUUUCUUGACUCGUUCGGCGCCUUACGGGAAAC